CCCCUAGACGUUCUGGGCCGCACGCGCGCUACACUGACCGGUGCAACAAGCAUCCGUCCUUGGCCGGCAGGCCCGGGCAAUCUUUGAACGCCGGUCGUGAUGGGGAUAGACUUUUGCAAUUUUUGGUCUUCAACGAGGAAUUCCUAGUAAACGCAAGUCAUCAGCUUGCAUUGAUUACGUCCCUGCCCUUUGUACACACCGCCCGUCGCACCUACCGAUUGAAUGGUCCGGUGAAAUCUCGGGACGGCGGCUUGGUCGCUUGCGUCCGACUGCUGAAACUUGAUUAAACCAUAUCAUUUAGAGGAAGGUGAAGUCGUAACA
rnacentral:rRNA from 1 species